CCUCAGCUCCCUUUCCACGCUGUGGAAGCUUUGUUCUUUCACUCUUUGCAAUAAAUCUUGCUGCUGCUCACUCUUUGGGUCUGCACUGCCUUUAUGAGCUGUAACACUCACUGCGAAGGUCUGCAGCUUCACUCCUGAGCCAGCGAGACCACGAAUCUAACAGAAGGAAGAAACUCCGAACACAUCUGAACAUCAGAAGGAACAAACUCUGGACACGCCACCUUUAAGAAUUGUAAGAGGGUGGGCGGCUUCAUUCUUGAAGUCAGUGAGACCAAGAACCCACCAAUUCCGGACACACCCUUAAUCUCCAAUAUUGGAAGCACUUACAAAUUCAUGGACUAUUAUGAAGACAAGUUAAGAGAUUGUGUCCUCCAAACUCAUCAUUUUUCAGAAAUUGUAUCACAAUCCUACAAGAUAAAUGCACAAGAUAAUUCUUCAAAUCAUUGAGAGUGUAAUCUAUAAUCUUCCUAAACAACGAACAGUAUAGCACUGGUUAAGGAAAUCAUAUAUCAGCAUAAAGAAAUGUCAACAAGAACUAAGAAGGAUCCAGUUCUGAAUCUCGUUAGCAAGUUCAAAGCAAGGCCAAGAAGAUGCAAUUCCCACUGGAAACCUUAUGAGACAGUUAGAAGGGAAGGGGAGCAAAUGUUCACCAGGUGAGCACUGGAACGCAGCCACUGCACAAAUGCAAUCCUGUUCUAUUCUCACAGCAAUCUUCCAUGAGAAGUAUUUAUUACUAUACAUGAAGAAACUCAAGGAUUUGGAAUGUGCAUGCACAGAUUGCGGAUAGAUAGACUGCCACCCUCGUCAUUGCAGAAGGAAACUUAUGGAGUCGUGCCCUGUCUCCCAGGCUGGAGUGCAGUGGCCCGAUCUCGGCUCAUGGCAACCUCUGCCUCCCAGGUUCAAGUGAUUCUCCUGCCUCAGCCUCCCGAGAAGCUGGGACUACAGGUGCCUGCCACCAUGCCCGGCUAAUUUUGGUAUUUUUAGUAGAGACGGGGUUUCACCAUAUUGGCCAGGCUGGUCUUGAACUCCUGAUCUUGUGAUCCACCCACCUCGGCUUCCCAAAGUGCUGGGAUUACAGGCAUGAGCCACCGCACCCAGCCUUUGAACUUUCAUACCUUUAGUA
rnacentral:lncRNA from 10 species